UACGGAGGGUGCAAGCGUUAAUCGGAAUUACUGGGCGUAAAGCGCACGCAGGUGGCUGAGUCAGUCGAUUGUGAAAGCCCCGGGCUUAACCUGGGAAUUGCAGUCGAUACUACUCAGCUAGAGUAUGGGAGAGGGUAGUGGAAUUCCCGGUGUAGCGGUGAAAUGCGUAGAUAUCGGGAGGAACAUCAGUGGCGAAGGCGGCUACCUGGCCCAAUACUGACACUCAGGUGCGACAGCGUGGGGAGCAAACAGG
rnacentral:rRNA from 1 species